AUUGGUGGUCCGAUGGCUGGUGUUUUGGCUGAAUUGGUUGUUGGACGACAGGAGUCGGAGGCUGUCCAUCUUUUUGGCCCGUUUGUGAAAUUGUGCCUGAGGUGCGUGGACGAUGUCUUGGUGGUUUGGGGGGGCGAGUGUGGGGCGGAGGAGAUGGCUUCUUCUUUGGCGGAUGAUGGCUUGGGGCUUGCUGCUGGGGUGGAGCGGGAGAGUGGGGCGGAGGUGCACUUUCUUGGUCUGAGAGUUUCGAUUGUGGAUGGUGACUGUGGGACUGCAGUUUGUGGAGGGCCAGGUGGGGUUCC
rnacentral:lncRNA from 1 species